CCUACGGGAGGCAGCAGUGAGGAAUAUUGGUCAAUGGACGCAAGUCUGAACCAGCCAUGCCGCGUGCAGGAAGACGGCUCUAUGAGUUGUAAACUGCUUUUGUACGAGGGAAAACGCAGAGACGUGUAUCGGGCUGAAAGUAACGUACGAAUAAGGAUCGGCUAACUCCGUGCCAGCAGCCGCGGUAAGACGGAGGAUUCAAGCGUUAUCCGGAUUGAUUGGGUUUAAAGGGUGCGGAGGCGGUCGGAUAAGGUAGAGGUGAAAUCCCGAGGCUAAACUUCGGAAUUGCCUCUGAUACUGUUCGGCUAGAGUGUAGUUGCGGUAGGCGGACUGUCUGGUGUAGCGGUGAACUGCUU
rnacentral:rRNA from 1 species